GGGGAAACUACAGCUGUGUUUAUCACCUCCAUGUUUUUGGACACAACUUCUCCUCAGAGAGCCGCCUGCUGUCUCUGUCUGUGUUCGAUCCAACAGCUGUGAUCGUCAGAUGGGUGGUGGUGCCACUGUUUCUCCUGCUUGUGCAGGGGGCGCUGUGGCUGUACUGUAAGGCCAGCAGGGGGCAGACCGGCAGACCGGCAGACC